rnacentral:misc_RNA from 1 species
GAUGAAGAACGCAGCGAAAUGCGAUAAGUAGUGUGAAUUGCAGAAUUCAGUGAAUCAUCGAAUCUUUGAACGCACAUUGCGCCCCUUGGUAUCCCAUGGGGCAUGCCUGUUCGAGCGUCAUUUGUACCUUCAAGCUCUGCUUGGUGUUGGGUGUUUGUCUCGCCUCUGCGUGUAGACUCGCCUCAAAACAAUUGGCAGCCGGCGUAUUGAUUUCGGAGCGCAGUACAUCUCGCGCUUUGCACUCAUAACGACGACGUCCAAAAGUACAUUUUUACACUCUUGACCUCGGAUCAGGUAGGGAUACCCGCUGAACUUAAGCAUAUCAAUAAGCGGAGGA